rnacentral:rRNA from 1 species
GGGCCCGCACAAGCGGUGGAGCAUGUGGUUUAAUUCGAUGAUACGCGAGGAACCUUACCAGGGCUUAAAUGUAAGUUGCAUGGAUCAGAGAUGAUCCUUUCUUCGGACCACUUACAAGGUGCUGCAUGGUUGUCGUCAGCUCGUGCCGUGAGGUGUCAGGUUAAGUCCUAUAACGAGCGCAACCCCUAUCGUUAGUUGCCAGCAAGUAAAGUUGGGUACUCUAGCGAGACUGCCGGUGCAAACCGAGAGGAAGGUGGGGAUGACGUCAAAUCAUCACGGCCCUUACGUCCUGGCUACACACGUGCUACAAUGCUACGGACAAAGGGCAGCAAGUUCGCGAGGACAAG